UAUUCUGCCCCAUGGGGAAGGAUGAGAAGCUUCGACUAAGGUUCGACUCGAGCGAAGCGAGAGAACGUUGCCGCAGGCAACGGCCCGAAGGGCGAGGCGCUAUAGCGACGAGUUAUCCUUCCCCCACCACCA
rnacentral:sRNA from 1 species